ACUCCUACGGGAGGCAGCAGUGGGGAAUAUUGCACAAUGGGCGCAAGCCUGAUGCAGCAACGCCGCGUGAGCGAUGAAGGCCUUCGGUCGUAAAGCUCUGUCCUCAAGGAAGAAUAAAUGACGGUACUUGAGGAGGAAGCCCGGCUAACUACGUGCCAGCAGCCGCGGUAAUACGUAGGGGGCAAGCGUUAUCCGGAAUCACUGGGGCGUAAAGGGUGCGUAGGCGGUUUUUCAAGUCAGAAGUGAAAGGCUAUGGCUCAACCAUAGUAAGCUUUUGAAACUGUUAAACUUGAGUGCAGGAGAGGAAAGUGGAAUUCCUAGUGUAGAGGUGAAAUUCGUAGAUAUUAGGAGGAACACCAGUGGCGAAGGCGACUUUCUGGACUGUAACUGACGCUGAGGCACGAAAGCGUGGGGAGCGAACAGGAUUAGAUACCCUGGUAGCACAGGG
rnacentral:rRNA from 1 species